UGCGAUCUUGGCUCACUGCAACAUCCGCCUCCCAGGUUCAAGCGAUUCUUCUGUCUCAGCCUCCUGAGUAGCUGGGAUUACAGAUGCCUGCUACUAUGCCUGGCUAAUUUUUGCUAUCAGUUCCUUUACAAGGUUCCUGAGCUGUGGUGAGAAUGCAACAUUCUGACAGGCCCAUGCACCUCAAGUUAUUUUGAGACCUCAAGAAAAGAGAAAUUCAUCCAAUUUGUACAGGUAUUGAAGACAGUAUGGUGGCAAAUCCUUGGCUUGGCUUUCCACCCUCAAGGCUUUUAAAAAUGUAAUCUGUCAGAUUGCCACUGCAGUCCAAAGAUGCUCCAGAGACUCCAGAAAGACUAUUCUAUAGACUACUCCAGUCAUUAACCUUAAUUUUUCUUCUGUAUCCAUAGAAAUGCCUCUUAUUAAAGAUCUGUUUUCCUGCAUCAUACAUAGAGGCCUAGCCCAUCCGUUAUGCCACCUCCUGGAAUGGGACACAGCUGUUUAAUUGAGCUGAUCUAUCCUCAGAACUAAGAGACUGACUAAAGAAGAUAUGGAAUUCUAUAUUUAACUUUGCUCUUUUCUGCUUAUCCCAAUUGUUUUUUCCACUUUUCUUCUAUAUCUAACAACCUCUAACCAAAGUCUCUCCAAAGCAAUCAGCUUGGCCUUUAAAAUGUGAAAUUUUAAAGUUUCAAAGUGGGGACUAAAGGAUAUCAAAAUAUUUUAUCCCCCAAAAUAUAUUUCUUUGACAUAUUUUGAGAUGGCUGUCAGAGAGCUAGCAUACAGAAGUAGCCCUGCAAAGUUAUAUCUUGUGGGGGAAAUUUGCAUCUGUAGAAAAUCUGCAUUGAUGAAGCCAGGCCUUCCCUUGUCUAGAUCUGGGAAAGAUUAACUGAGAGUCUGAAACACCUUUAAAGGUCUGAAAGAAACAUUUGCCAUCUAUUCUCUAACAGGACUGCUACCUGUGAAGUUUCAACUAUGUAAUGAGAACACCUUUGCUAGCCAAGCCUCCUCUUUUCUCCCUUUGGUAAUCUGUUUUGCCACAGCCGAAGCCCUCAUUCUUUUUGUAACCUCAAGAUGGCAUUUAAGCUUCUGCAUUCCAUUGCGGGGUUGGGUAAUCACUCAGUAAUGUUCCCCAUGUGUAUGCUAAUAAAAUGUGUAUGCUUUUUCUCCAAUUAAUCUGC
rnacentral:lncRNA from 10 species